rnacentral:rRNA from 1 species
GAUCAUGGCUCAGGAUGAACGCUAGCUACAGGCUUAACACAUGCAAGUCGAGGGGCAGCAUGAACAAAGCUUGCUUUGUUUGAUGGCGACCGGCGCACGGGUGCGUAACACGUAUCCAAUCUGCCCGCGGCUCGGGGAUAGCCCAUCGAAAGAUGGAUUAAUACCCGAUGGUGUGGUUUCUCCGCAUGGGGUUUCCACUAAAGGUUUUCCGGCCGCGGAUGAGGAUGCGUAUGAUUAGGUAGUAGGCGGGGUAACGGCCCACCUAGCCUUCGAUCAUUAGGGGUUCUGAGAGGAAGGUCCCCCACACUGGAACUGAGACACGGUCCAGACUCCUACGGGAGGCAGCAGUGAGGAAUAUUGGUCAAUGGGCGAGAGCCUGAACCAGCCAAGUAGCGUGAAGGAAGACUGCCCUAUGGGUUGUAAACUUCUUUUGUUCGGGAAUAAAGUGCAGUACGCGUACUGUUUUGUAUGUACCGUUCGAAUAAGCAUCGGCUAAUUCCGUG